CGCCACCAUCUUCGCUGCUGCUGCCGCCGCCGCGCUCCCGAGAGCCGCCGCAUCCGCCGCGGCACCGAGUUUUCAGCCGGGCAGAGCCAGACGUCAGCAGGAGGAGGGCGGAGCUGAUGGACCUGGAAUCAGCCUCUGCCCCAGAAUCUGUUUGUGGAUAUUAAAAAGCUGGACUUCAUGGCCCACCAUUUCUGAGCUGCAUAAGCUGCCAAGAAGAGUGAUAACGUGAUGAAUCCCUGAAAUCCUCUGGCCUAAUUUGUGUCAUGUACCCCACAGGUACAUGGUGAUAUUCUAGAAUGCCUGCAGCAUAUUCAGCAGCAGGUUAACCCCUGGGAGGAAUGGGAGCAUCGAUGCCACCUCCACAGCUGACCUGUGCACAGUCCACCUCUGCAAAGAGCCUCCCUGCAGGUUUUGGAAUGCAGCAGGGUUAUACUAAUGUGUGCAAGAGAGAUGGAAAACCAGGGCUGCUCACUCCUGUGUAAUGACAAGAGAUGGUGCAGGGUAACUUGGCCCAGACGUGGCUGGAGCUGGCUCUCUGCUCAAGGAAUGCAGUUGGACCAUCCACAAGCAGAAGGCACUGCUGGUGAAACUUCCUUACUCAAGCGUGGGGCCCUGGUCUUUCACCUAACAGAGGGGAAAAAUAGAUGGAAACAAGCCUUUAGUGCUGCUGAUUCAUGGGGUAUUGCACCAAGCCACAAAGAGAGGUAAACUUUGGGCUGCUAUUUCGAGGCCUUUUACUGAUCUUCAGAAUAGCAGAGCUUUUCCCCAGCCCUCAGCCCAGCAGCAAUGACACAAGUGAAUGGACUCUUCCGUGGGUUUGGUAGCACAGAGCUCCCCCAGGACUCCUUGGCCUGUGCCUACAGAAUCUGGGAGUCACACAUGAGCCCCACCCAAGCACCAUAAAAAUGACUGCUGCAGAUCCUGGCAUUCCAACACAUUGAUGAGUCAAGAAACAACAGCUUGGUACAACCAAUGAGAACAUGAAAUUUGCAGUCCCUGAACUAACAACUUCCAGCUCAAAAACCUGUGGCUGUAUUCAGUUGGUAUCAGUCCAAAUGGCUGAGCAUUUCUUAGGGAAAACAAGAGUCAGAAGUACAGCAGAGCACUCCCAGGGCUGCUGGGUUUAGAGGAGCUCAGCUCUGCCCUCAGCCUGAGCCAGGCUGCCAUACAAUCAGAUAUUCUCCUCAGGCAUUGCCAGGGUAGGGGAGGAGACAAAUCAUCAAAAAGGAGCCUUGCAGCGUGCAGAGAGAGCACCAUGCUCUGCUAUUGAAGUGCAGGGUCUGCUCUUGCACAUCUGUGCUGCCAUUUAGUCCUUACAGACUAAUUCCUUCUCUCCUGGGGCUUGCAGCUCAUUCAGCAUUUCCACUGCUUUUCCCUUUGCUGAUGUGCAGUGGGUGUAACUGGACUUCACACAUGGUCAAGUAUGUACAAUUUUGUUAUUAUCAUGCAAACUACUGCCCUUAGGACUGAAAAGCAUCUGCCUCUCAGAUGGAAGAGUAGAACUUCUUGGCCAGGGUGAGGAACCAUUAUAUACCUACUGUUCAAAGUGCAGUUCUUUUAAACUGAACUAUGAUGAAAAAUACCAACUGUAAAAAUAUCUGUGAUGAAGUUUCCAUGCCUCAUAAGGACACUGGGAGACCUGCAUGGUUGUUGGAUAAAAAAAGAAUGUGCAGUUGUUUCACAAACAGCUAUGAGGCCCCUGUUCUCUUUGAUUGUAGCCAUUGGUGAAAAGACAAUUUCUCAUUAGGCCCUUUCUAUGGUCCAUGGAAUGAAAAGCAGUUUGUCCAGCACGAGGCCAGGACAGGCCCCAGCAAAGCAUCUGAAAUCCAGCUGCUAAUCAAGAAUGCUUUUGCUGGUGGGAUCCACAACUGGAAUUGCUUAUGGACCCAUCCAAAGCCACGUACAUGCCAGAUCCUCGGGAGCAUUAUUCUCACACAACUGUUCUAACCUUGAGGAUGACUUGAGCUCUCAUCAGCCAUCUGCCUUACAAUAAGUUGACAUCCUUAUGUAUUCUCUCCGCCAAAAGGCAACUUUUAAAAUGCUAUUUAAAAAAACUGUGUACAAAUUAAACAGUCAACACGUUUUACUGCUGCUCAGUAACUGAAAUGUUUUCACUAUACUAUGCAAUCUAUAACUGCUGAAAUUACUUUCAUGUGUGUUUAUAAGUCUUCCUAUAUUUUCUCCUCAUUACUCCAAAUACAUUUUAAAAGCUUGUUAAGAUAGAUUUGUUGGUAUUUUAUAUCUAGCUGACUGUGCAUGUUAAAGGCUUCAACUGUAACUUUCCUAACUUGAAACACACUAUUCUUCAUGCUGCUUGCUAAAACACAUAUCAUUGCAACCAUGUACAUUAAUUGGCUUGUCUGGGGAAACAGAACUCAGUUUAUGAAG